UGAGUAACACGUGGGCAACCUGCCUAUAAGACUGGGAUAACUUCGGGAAACCGGAGCUAAUACCGGAUACGUUCUUUUCUCGCAUGAGAGAAGAUGGAAAGACGGUUUACGCUGUCACUUAUAGAUGGGCCCGCGGCGCAUUAGCUAGUUGGUGAGGUAAUGGCUCACCAAGGCGACGAUGCGUAGCCGACCUGAGAGGGUGAUCGGCCACACUGGGACUGAGACACGGCCCAGACUCCUACGGGAGGCAGCAGUAGGGAAUCUUCCGCAAUGGACGAAAGUCUGACGGAGCAACGCCGCGUGAACGAAGAAGGCCUUCGGGUCGUAAAGUUCUGUUGUUAGGGAAGAACAAGUACCAGAGUAACUGCUGGUACCUUGACGGUACCUAACCAGAAAGCCACGGCUAACUACGUGCCAGCAGCCGCGGUAAUACGUAGGUGGCAAGCGUUGUCCGGAAUUAUUGGGCGUAAAGCGCGCGCAGGUGGUUCCUUAAGUCUGAUGUGAAAGCCCACGGCUCAACCGUGGAGGGUCAUUGGAAACUGGGGAACUUGAGUGCAGAAGAGGAAAGUGGAAUUCCAAGUGUAGCGGUGAAAUGCGUAGAGAUUUGGAGGAACACCAGUGGCGAAGGCGACUUUCUGGUCUGUAACUGACACUGAGGCGCGAAAGCGUGGGGAGCAAACAGGAUUAGAUAC
rnacentral:rRNA from 1 species